UUUCCGUAGGUGAACCUGCGGAAGGAUUAUUAAUGAGUUGUCAUGGGGUUCGAUGCUGGCAGCCAGUUUUUGGAUGCAUGUGCUUGCCCUAACAAUCAUCUUCUUCCAAACACCUGUGCACAUUUUCGAGGGAGUCUUGAGUUGGUUGCCGCUCUUGGGUGAUUUUCUCACAUUCCCUUAAAUCAUUAUACGCUAUUAACAAUGUUGAACGUGCUCUGUGCCGCAAGGCCAUUAAUAUAAUACAACUUUUAACAACGGAUCUCUUGGCUCUC
rnacentral:misc_RNA from 1 species